ensembl:lncRNA
UAAAGUAAAGAAAAGAUAAAUAUAAGUAAACGUUAAAUGAUUCCAUUUUCAAAUGUAAUGUGAUCUUAAUAUUAUAAAAAAAUAAAGUUAAAGUUAAAUAAAAAUCACAUAAAAAAAAUACCCAUAUUGUAUAAUAUCUCAAGACCUCUUAUACCGUUUCCUCUGAUAUGAUGCUAUCAGUUUGAUGCAUAAUGCUUUUUUCAUAAUCUGGUUGUUCUCUUUUGGUCUUAAAACUCUGAGCAGACCCUGCUUCUUUAGAACAGAAAUAGUUCCGUCAGGGGUUAAGCUGUAGAGAGCUCUCCAAAGAUCAUUAUUUGGGUCCUCAUCGAGCACACCUGCUGGCAUUAAACUAAUCACUGGCGUAAUGAUAGGUUCAAUUGAACCUCCAAACUCACCUCGAAUAUCUCAGGAAAUAGACUCCAUUCUGAUGUUUUCUACCGCCAAACAAGGGAGACAAAAGCUGCUGCUCUUAAUUUGCAGGAACAGUGAGCCACAGACGGCUAAUCACGUCCGGAACCAAAGGCACCUGCCCUAUCUGCCUCUACAUUUGGUGAGGAAUCUUUAAAGAGGCUAAACCUCACUUUCAUGCUUGUCUUUUAUUCACGGUAAGUGCUUAUCGAAACCGAGCUGUUGCCACUGCCCCGUGUUCCCUCCCACAAGCUCGGAGAAUGCUUGACGUAAGUACAGCCAAUCUGGGUAAAUACGAAUCUCUCCUUACUGUCACUGUUGGCAUAUUAUGUCCCUGAGGGAACAUUCUUUUCAUAAUAUCAUAAGCUGCUUAGUGGUGUGCUUCUAUUUAAGGCAUACAUAUUAAUAGCUAUAAGGAAAUCAUAUUUGAACUGUUCCCUGCAAUCAAUGUCUCUAGGAUUGCUGUUAUACUUUGUAUAAGAAGGUGCUAAUAACUUGGAGGCUCUUAGACUGGGCGAUCUAAUCCCUUUGUACGAUAAAGACUCGCCACGCCGAGAGUGGCUGCCAGAUCGUGGACAAGGUGCUUCAGAGGGUUAGUUCUUAAUGUCGUACUCCAGCUCCGUGCUUACCCUUGUUUUGUCUGCCAUUUUUCCCUUUUCUACUUUCCAGAAACCUGGCUACAUGCUGAAGAACCAGCAUUAAAUGUGCUCGGUUGCCCAUUGAGUGCCUCGGACAGUGAAUGAUGAUUUGCUAGUUAAACUUUUUUUUUUAAAUGUGCGUUUGGCUUUUGGGACAGGAAAGAGAAUUGACAGCAAAGUAAAAGAUGGAGACUGAUGGGAUCUUUCAUUAAUAUUUCUUAGAAAAAAAACUUUUAAAAAUUUACCUCUUUAAACUUGUAUUUUUUUUUUUUUUACAACGUCAUGUGGUGCAACCAACAUACAGAAGAAACAUGCAGGAAAAAAGGAAGUGAUAUAAUAGAGAAGACCCCAGCAGACCCUCAUGACUGUGUGUCAAUGUCAGUAAUUCUCAUAAAAUAUCAGACAGUUUGGCUUAUCAGGUUUAUUUCAGGUUGUCAUGUGGUGCAACUCCCCCCAGCACUUUGAAUUAUUCAUUAAUGAUAUUUGUAAAAAAAAAAAAAAUUAAAUAAAUGAAAAAAAUUACCUUGGGAAAAAUAUUUU